GCUGCUGGGCCUCCCCAGAGACAGCAUCACAGUGACAGCUGGGAAAUGGUUAAUGACUAAUUAUAAUUUUUAACACCCUGGGGCUAAAAUUGGAGUGAGGGGGGUGGGCUCAUGGGUCUGUGCAAGGCAUGAGGACAAGCAGCAGUGAAGGAAAGUUGGUGGGAUACGGAGCAGAAAAGUGGAGGCUGGGGGAGUUCCCAAGACAUUGUCCCCUGGGAAGGUGUUACCCACAGCUGGAAAGCAUUUGGCUAUGUUUGCUGUGCACACACUGCAUGAAAUAGCAGAGUGGUUCUGCAGAGCAGAAAUAAAGAGCAUCUGAAAACCAAACUGGCACCCUGAGGACUGUGCUGGGCUAAAAACAAUGUUCAUUUCUGCAUAAACAGCACCGAAAAGAAUGAACUCAUCCUUGAUUGUGGAGCAGAAGAGCACUUCUGCACGUGGCAGGAGGGGAUGUGUGGUGGAGAGAGAAGCGAGGAAGCAGGACCGAGCUCCUGGGAAUGUUGGCUGGAGAUGCUGUAUGCCUCUCUGCUUUGCCCAGAGCUCCUGGGAGACCUUGGGGGGAGCAAUGCACGUGGCUUGGAGUAGGUCAGGUCUGGGUGAUGAGGUGAACAAAAGGGGCCCAGACAUCCAGAACAGCCACUGGAAACAUCAGAGAAGUCAGCCUGUGCCAGAUAUACACCUUCCUGCACCUAAAAGGACCUGUAAGAAAAAGCACUUUCAAAAAAAAAAAGUGGUGUCUGCUGCUCCUUACUGCCUGCAGGUAGGACCACAGGAGUGCUUCCUGUUUUGUGCUGCGUUUGCUGUCUCCAUUUAUUGCCUUCAUAACUGCUGUCACCCUUCAGAGUUGAACUGUCUUCUUGCCAGGCCUCUGAAAAAUGGGCUUUUGCACAGUGCCUCUACGUUUACAAUACAAUGUUUACCUCUAACCUGAGCCAAGCGUGAUGCUCUUUUAAGUCUGGCCAUCCAGAGAGACCUUCAGUGAAGAGAGGAAUCAUCUCACUAUAGAAA